rnacentral:lncRNA from 11 species
AAUGAAUGCAGGCAUCCCGGCUGCUGUUUCUAAGGCUCCGCCCCUUUUCCCGGGCUCACAAAGGACAGGAUGAGGCGCUGGGCUGCUGAGCGUUCCUGUCCCCAUGGCAACGAUUGUCACCAAGGCUCCACGGCCACGCCCCUUUGCCCGGGCCCUCCCUUCUCGGUGCCUUGACUAGUAGCAGCCCGCAACCAUGGCCCAAAAGCAGGCGGCGCCAUGGCGGACGCCAUCCCCGUCCACUGGGAAGCCGAGCCCGGGGCCCUGGUGCCCUUCCAGGGACGCCGGCAGGACUGGAAGCUGACCAGCAGCGGAGUGGGCCUCAACUAUAUCCCCCCGUUGCCUUUGCUGCCGCCUUAUGCACGUUCUACAGUCCAGGAGCCCUUGCCCCCUGGCUCUGAGAAAGGCUAUCGAGAUGAGAUUAUUCCCCGCUUGACAACCACCUCGCAGCUUGCCUAUUGUCCCAAGAACCACAGCCGGGUCCUGGCUCAUGACCGGCACUUUGUUGCUGACGCACACAACAGUGUCCACUAUAUUAAAGAUUUGAAAGAGAAGCUGAAGCAGAGAGCAUGGAGGUUCCCACUGACUCCGGGCAACCAGAAAAGCGAGAUGAAGGACCGCUUCCCAGGCUGGCCCAACCUGCCACAAGAGCCCACCUUUCAUGCUGGACCUCAGCCCUUUGGACUGGCUGCGCAUCAUACAGAUGGAGCAUCCAAGUCCAUUGUGGCCAGCACACGGAAUGAAGAGAUGGCCGGCAAACCCUUCUAUGUCCGGGACAAGGCAGUUUUGCGGCUCAAUGAACCAUAUAUGUCUGUCACCACUCGAGACUUCCAUCCCUUUACAAAGCACGAAGUACUUGACUACAAUAAGGAGAACCCACCGGCAUGGUAUUCCCACCCUUUGAUCCGUCAACCUGGGCCAAUGCGAGACAUCCAACUGUUUCGCAAAUCCACCCGGGUACCCCGCCUGCCCCCCAAUAUUCCUGCGGUUCCCCACCUUGGCCUGCUCAGCCUGACCAAAGCCUCCUACCAGCCUCCCAAUGAUCACAAGCGCUCCUGGGACCGCUACUGCCCGGUGGAGAAGCCACCCACCGUCUCCUGCCGGGUGCCGGUGGUGGAGAUCAUGUGUGUGCCCCGCAUGUACGAGACGGAGUACAAGUGCUACGGAAGUGGCAAAUUCAUGCCAGUGUGAGAGAGCUUUCUUUGCAGCUGUUCAGCAAACAUUUAGGCUCCUGAUGGUUGGGUGACUCGGAGGAGGGGGAAGAUAUAUAUAUAAAAGAAGAUGCAAAAUAGGACGGUAGAGCUCUUCC